rnacentral:rRNA from 1 species
UACGAAGGGGGCUAGCGUUGCUCGGAAUCACUGGGCGUAAAGCGCACGUAGGCGGAUUGUUAAGUCAGGGGUGAAAGCCCCCAGCUCAACUGGGGAAGUGCCUCUGAUACUGCCGGCCUCGAGGGAGGUAGGGGCGUGCGGAACUUCCGGUGGAGCGGUGAAAUGCGUAGAUAUCGGAAGGAACGUCGGUGGCGAAAGCGGCGCGCUGGACCUCUUCUGACGCUGAGGCGCGAAAGCCAGGGGAGCGAACGGG